AACGUAGGUGGCAAGCGUUAUCCGGAAUUACUGGGCGUAAAGGGCGUGCAGGCGGUCUGUUAAGUGCAGGGUGAAAGCUCCCGGCUCAACUGGGAGAGGUCCUUGCAUACUGGCGGACUUGAGGGGGGUAGAGGAAAGUGGAAUUCCCGGUGUAGUGGUGAUAUGCGUAGAUAUCGGGAGGAACACCUGUGGCGAAGGCGGCUUUCUGGGCCCUACCUGACGCUGAGACGCGAAAGCGUGGGGAGCGAACCGGG
rnacentral:rRNA from 1 species